UACGUAGGGUGCGAGCGUUGUCCGGAAUUACUGGGCGUAAAGAGCUCGUAGGUGGUUUGUCGCGUUGUUCGUGAAAACUCACAGCUCAACUGUGGGCGUGCGGGCGAUACGGGCAGACUGGAGUACUGCAGGGGAGACUGGAAUUCCUGGUGUAGCGGUGGAAUGCGCAGAUAUCAGGAGGAACACCGGUGGCGAAGGCGGGGUCUCUGGGCAGUAACUGACGCUGGAGGCGACGGAAAGCGUGGGGAGCAAACAGG
rnacentral:rRNA from 1 species